UACGAAGGGUGCAAGCGUUAAUCGGAAUUACUGGGCGUAAAGCGUGCGUAGGCGGUUGUUUAAGUCUGCUGUGAAAUCCCCGGGCUCAACCUGGGAAUGGCAGUGGAUACUGGACAGCUAGAGUGUGUCAGAGGAUGGUGGGAUUCCCGGUGUAGCGGUGAAAUGCGUAGAGAUCGGGAGGAACAUCAGUGGCGAAGGCGGCCAUCUGGGACAACACUGACGCUGAGGCACGAAAGCGUGGGGAGCAAACAGG
rnacentral:rRNA from 1 species